UACGGGGGGGGCAAGCGUUGUUCGGAAUUACUGGGCGUAAAGGGCUCGUAGGCGGCCAACUAAGUCAGACGUGAAAUCCCUCGGCUUAACCGGGGAACUGCGUCUGAUACUGGAUGGCUUGAAUCCGGGAGAGGGAUGCGGAAUUCCAGGUGUAGCGGUGAAAUGCGUAGAUAUCUGGAAGAACACCAAAGGCGAAGGCAGCGUCCUGGGAAGUGACUGACGCUCAUGUGCGAAAGCUAGGGGAGCGAACGGG
rnacentral:rRNA from 1 species